AAAUUCUAACAAGCCUGAUUUCAAGACCAGAUAUAGUGGCUAGCACCUCUAAUUCCAGUGCUUGGGAACUGGAAGGCAGAAGUUCCAGUCUAGCCUUGGCUAUGUAGAGAUUUGAAGGGCAGCCUGUGCUACAUGAGACACUGUCUCCUAAAAUCUUAUGAUAAAGGCCAUAUUUUACCCCUCUGCUCCUCACCACCACCACCCACGCAGGGAUCUCACGAUGCAGACCAGUCUUUUUUUUUUUUUUUUGGUUCAUUUUUUCGGAGCUGGGGACCGAACCCAGGCCCUUGCACUUCCUAGGUAAGCGCUCUACCACUGAGCUAAAUCCCCAGCCCCAUGAUGCAGACCAGUCUUAAAGGAGCCUCUGCCUCCUGAGUUCUGGGUUAAAGGUGUGUACAAGCACACCUAGCUCCCUACCACCUUCUUAGGCUAGACAUGUAGCCUGCCUCCGCUUGCUCUAUGAUCCUCACUUCAUUUCACCCCCUGAGUCUUGUCCCAUUGUCUGUCCUGAUACACCUAGACAGGCGGACGAGCUGCAGCAGCCUCUGGAGCUUAAACAGGAUCCAGAGUCCUUAGAGCUGGAUGCAGAGCUCAUGUCAGUGAUGGAGUUGGCACGAGACCUGGAGCUGCAGUCAAUGCUGCAGGUGGGGCUGGACCUGGGCGUAGAGCCGAAACCAGAUCCCACACUGAGUCCAGCCCCACAAAUCCUGCUGGAGCCAGACCCAGCACGUGCAUUGAAUCAGCUGUUGCCAGAGCCGGAUUUGCCUCAGGACCUGCAGCAGCUGAACACAGGGGAGAUGGAAAUCUUCAGAAACAACAUAAAUAUUGAUGACGUCAUGCCCUACGGUGACCCAGUGUUGGCUGGCCAGAGCAUCAUAGAGGAGGCUUACAGGUCCUGCCCCAGCCAUUUUGACGUGGAUGGACCCUUGAUUCCUUCUGAAGACUAAGAGCUUUGUUUCUGUUUUGUCCCUUCUAACUCCCAAAUCAGGAUGUUGCUUCCAGCAGUGGGAAAAGAGGCCUUGUGAGCAGGGUUAGCAUAGGCUCUGGAGUAAGAGGUAGAAGCAUAGCAUGCUUUCUAAG
rnacentral:lncRNA from 1 species